CCCUUAUCCUUUGUUGCCAGCGGUCCGGCCGGGAACUCAAAGGAGACUGCCAGUGAUAAACUGGAGGAAGGUGGGGAUGACGUCAAGUCAUCAUGGCCCUUACGACCAGGGCUACACACGUGCUACAAUGGCGCAUACAAAGAGAAGCGACCUCGCGAGAGCAAGCGGACCUCAUAAAGUGCGUCGUAGUCCGGAUUGGAGUCUGCAACUCGACUCCAUGAAGUCGGAAUCGCUAGUAAUCGUGGAUCAGAAUGCCACGGUGAAUACGUUCCCGGGCCUUGUACACACCGCCCGUCACACCAUGGGAGUGGGUUGCAAAAGAAGUAGGUAGCUUAACCUUCGGGAGGGCGCUUACCACUUUGUGAUUCAUGACUGGGGUGAAGUCGUAACAAGGUAACCGUAGGGGAACCUGCGGUUGGAUCAC
rnacentral:rRNA from 2 species